GACGAACGCUGGCGGCGUGCCUAAUACAUGCAAGUCGAACGCAUUUUCUUUCACCGUAGCUUGCUACACCGAAAGAAAAUGAGUGGCGAACGGGUGAGUAACACGUGGGUAACCUGCCCAUCAGCGGGGGAUAACACUUGGAAACAGGUGCUAAUACCGCAUAAUUCCAUUUACCGCAUGGUAAAUGGAUGAAAGGCGCUUUUGCGUCACUGAUGGAUGGACCCGCGGUGCAUUAGCUAGUUGGUGGGGUAACGGCCUACCAAGGCUGCGAUGCAUAGCCGACCUGAGAGGGUGAUCGGCCACACUGGGACUGAGACACGGCCCAGACUCCUACGGGAGGCAGCAGUAGGGAAUCUUCGGCAAUGGACGCAAGUCUGACCGAGCAACGCCGCGGGAGUGAAGAAGGUUUUCGGAUCGUAAAACUCUGUUGUUAGAGAAGAACAAGGAUGAGAGUGGAAAGUUCAUCCCUUGACGGUAUCUAACCAGAAAGCCACGGCUAACUACGUG
rnacentral:rRNA from 1 species